UACGUAGGGUGCGAGCGUUAAUCGGAAUUACUGGGCGUAAAGCGUGCGCAGGCGGUUUUGUAAGCCAGAUGUGAAAUCCCCGGGCUUAACCUGGGAAUGGCAUUUGGGACUGCAAGGCUUGAGUGCGGCAGAGGAGACUGGAAUUCCUGGUGUAGCAGUGAAAUGCGUAGAUAUCAGGAGGAACACCGAUGGCGAAGGCAGGUCUCUGGGCUGACACUGACGCUCAUGCACGAAGCGUG
rnacentral:rRNA from 1 species